rnacentral:rRNA from 1 species
AGUGGACGCUGGCGGUAGGCCUAACACAUGCAAGUCGAACGGCAGCACAGUAAGAGCUUGCUCUUACGGGUGGCGAGUGGCGGACGGGUGAGGAAUACAUCGGAAUCUACUUUUUCGUGGGGGAUAACGUAGGGAAACUUACGCUAAUACCGCAUACGACCUACGGGUGAAAGCAGGGGAUCUUCGGACCUUGCGCGAUUGAAUGAGCCGAUGUCGGAUUAGCUAGUUGGCGGGGUAAAGGCCCACCAAGGCGACGAUCCGUAGCUGGUCUGAGAGGAUGAUCAGCCACACUGGAACUGAGACACGGUCCAGACUCCUACGGGAGGCAGCAGUGGGGAAUAUUGGACAAUGGGCGCAAGCCUGAUCCAGCCAUACCGCGUGGGUGAAGAAGGCCUUCGGGUUGUAAAGCCCUUUUGUUGGGAAAGAAAAGCAGCAGGUUAAUACCCCGCUGUUCUGACGGUACCCAAAGAAUAGGCACCGGCUAACUUCG